rnacentral:tRNA from 1 species
AGGAAUGUAGCUCAAUGGUAAAGUAGUUGCUUAAGCAUGUUCAGAAGCCUGGGUUCAAUUCCCAGCAUUGCCC